ACUUUGACUCCAGUUUCAAGUAUGUGAUGUUCUGAGAAUCUCCACAGGGCGGGAGAAAUGUGGAGGUGACGAGUGAGGGGUCCAGCAAUAAGAGGGUUGAGUUGACGUUGGGGGUGAAAACACCUGAAAUGUCGAUUCAGGCUUUCUUCGUGUUUUUGUCAGGACAGUGAAGCCUGCAUGUGCAAAAAUGGCCUUUUUGACACUGCUGUAGCUCAAACACAGAGUACAAAGCCCAAGGCCAGGACGCCGGUAGCAUGCAGACUUCUGACGGAGGGGAACGAGGCGGCCUCUCUCAGGGAUCAAUCUCGUCUGCCAUUGAGUGUAAGUUUGGCAAGCACCGACCCCAGAAGGACCUCUUCAGUCCAUACAUCCAUCACUGUAUGA
rnacentral:lncRNA from 1 species